CGUUCCAGGCCUUGUACACACCGCCCGUCACAUCAUGAAAGCCGGUUGUACCCGAAGUCACCCCUCAAAAGGUGCCGAAGGUAUGGCUGGUGAUUGGGAUG
rnacentral:rRNA from 1 species